AGUGAACGCUGGCGGUAGGCCUAACACAUGCAAGUCGAACGGCAGCACAGUAAGAGCUUGCUCUUACGGGUGGCGAGUGGCGGACGGGUGAGGAAUACAUCGGAAUCUACUUUUUCGUGGGGGAUAACGUAGGGAAACUUACGCUAAUACCGCAUACGACCUACGGGUGAAAGCAGGGGAUCUUCGGACCUUGCGCGAUUGAAUGAGCCGAUGUCGGAUUAGCUAGUUGGCGGGGUAAAGGCCCACCAAGGCGACGAUCCGUAGCUGGUCUGAGAGGAUGAUCAGCCACACUGGAGCGGAGACACGGUCCAGACUCCUACGGGAGGCAGCAGUGGGGAAUAUUGGACAAUGGGCGCAAGCCUGAUCCAGCCAUACCGCGUGGGUGAAGAAGGCCUUCGGGUUGUAAAGCCCUUUUGUUGGGAAAGAAAAGCAGCAGGUUAAUACCCCGCUGUUCUGACGGUACCCAAAGAAUAAGCACCGGCUAACUUCGUG
rnacentral:rRNA from 1 species